rnacentral:rRNA from 1 species
UACGUAGGGGGCUAGCGUUGUCCGGAUUUAUUGGGCGUAAAGAGCGUGUAGGCGGCCAGGUAGGUCCGGUGUGAAAACUCGAGGCUUAACCUCGAGAUGUCAUCGGAAACCAUCUGGCUAGAGUCCGGAAGAGGAGAGUGGAAUUCCUGGUGUAGCGGUGAAAUGCGCAGAUAUCAGGAAGAGCACCAAUGGCGAAAGCAGCUCUCUGGGACGGUACUGACGCUGAGACGCGAAAGCGUGGGGAGCGAACAGG